GGUACAUCCACAGUUAACAUGGGACAUGGAUCCACAGCAUGGUCCACAGUUAGCCUUGUACAUGGAUCCACUGUUAACAUGGUAUGUACAUCCACAGUUAACAUGGGACAUGGAUCCACAGCAUGGUCCACAGUUAGCCUUGUACAUGGAUCCACUGUUAACAUGGUAUGUACAUCCACAGUUAACAUGGGACAUGGAUCCACAGCAUGGUACACAGGUCCACAGUUAGCCUUGUACAUGGAUCCACUGUUAACAUGGUAUGUACAUCCACAGUUAACAUGGGACAUGGAUCCACAGCAUGGUACACAGGUCCACAGUUAGCCUUGUACAUGGAUCCACUGUUAACAUGGUAUGUACAUCCACAGUAAACAUGGGACAUGGAUCCACAGCAUGGUCCACAGUUAGCCUUGUACAUAGAUCCACUGUUAACAUGGUAUGUACAUCCACAGUUAACAUGGGACAUGGAUCCACAGCAUGGUACACAGGUCCACAGUUAGCCUUGUACAUGGAUCCACUGUUAACAUGGGACAUGGUCCACAGUUAACAUUGUACAUAGAUCCACUGUUAACAUGGUAUGUACAUCCACAGUUAACAUGGGAGAUGGAUCUACAGUUAACAUGGUACACAGGUCCACAGUUAACAUUGUACAUAGAUCCACUGUUAACAUGGUAUGUACAUCCACAGUUAACAUGGGACAUGGAUCCACAGCAUGGUACACAGGUCCACAGUUAGCCUUGUACAUGGAUCCACUGUUUACAUGGUAUGUACAUCCACAGUUAACAUGGGACAUGGAUCCACAGCAUGGUACACAGGUCCACAGUUAGCCUUGUACAUGGAUCCACUGUUAACAUGGUAUGUACAUCCACAGUUAACAUGGGACAUGGAUCCACUGCAUGGUCCACAGUUAGCCUUGUACAUGGAUCCACUGUUAACAUGGUAUGUACAUCCACAGUUAACAUGGGACAUGGAUCCACAGCAUGGUA